rnacentral:rRNA from 1 species
UACGAAGGGGGCUAGCGUUGCUCGGAAUCACUGGGCGUAAAGCGCACGUAGGCGGCUUUUAAGUCAGGGGUGAAAUCCUGGAGCUCAACUCCAGAACUGCCUUUGAUACUGGACGACUUGUAGUCGGGAGAGGUGAGUGGAACUGCGAGUGUAGAGGUGAAAUUCGUAGAUAUUCGCAAGAACACCAGUGGCGAAGGCGGCUCACUGGCC